rnacentral:rRNA from 1 species
UACGAAGGGGGCUAGCGUUGCUCGGAAUCACUGGGCGUAAAGCGCACGUAGGCGGAUCGUUAAGUCAGGGGUGAAAUCCUGGAGCUCAACUCCAGAACUGCCUUUGAUACUGGCGACCUUGAGUUCGGGAGAGGUGAGUGGAACUGCGAGUGUAGAGGUGAAAUUCGUAGAUAUUCGCAAGAACACCAGUGGCGAAGGCGGCGAUCUGGACGAUGACUGACGCUGAGACGCGAAAGCGUGGGGAGCAAACAGG